GCUGGGCACAGUGGCACAUGCCUGUAGUCCCAGCAGCUGGGAAGCUGAGGCAGGAGGAUCCUGAAUUCAAAGCCAGCAACUUAGCAAGGCCCUAAGCAACUCAUGAAGAUCCUGUUUCUA
rnacentral:sRNA from 1 species